UGAAAGACCAGUAUACAUAUAUUCAUAGUAGAAAGUAUCGUACCCUCUAGGUGACAGGGGCACAGAGUGAUCCAAAUACAAGUAAAGGAAGCACUAAUUCUGACUGGUGCUACUGGGAGAGACUGUGGAAGCUAUAUAAGUCAGCUUCAGAUUGCUAUAACAAAAUGCCUAAGAUAAUUAAUUUAUUUAAAAAAAAGAUUUAUUUUGACUCACUGUAUUAGAGGUUCCAGUCUGAGAUUGGGAAAAUCCACUGCUUUGGGCCUCUGAUGGCAAUGGUGGGGAGCACAUGGCCAAGCAAACUACUCACCUCAGGUAGGAAGAACUGAAAAAGAGGAGAUGAAGGUCCCAAAAUCCCCUUCCAGGGGUACCCUCAAUGACCAAAGGACCUCCCACCAGAUUCCAUCUCCUAAACAUUCCGCUACUUCCCAAUAAUACCACCCUGGGGACCAUGCUUUUAACACAUGGGACUUUGGGGAACAAUUAUUGAAAGCACAGCAGAAGUGGAAACAUGAAGAAGACCUUGAAGGAGGGUGAUUAGAAGAAGAUCUUCUCAAGUAGAGAGACCAUGAGACAAAGCACGGAGAUCAGACACCGUGAGAUUCAAUGAAAGCCUGUAAAGUACUCUUCAGUUAUAAAAUACUUGAUGCCACUACUGCCUUUCCCAGUAGCCAUGACCUCUCUAGGCAACAAGAUAACAGCAAUUCAGAGACGCGGCCAGCUGCCAGCUUACCUGCUUGCAGAAUUUGAAGUAGACCUGACUGGCUUUACCGCCUGCCCCAGUCCCAAAGGAGGUGAUGGUACGUGUCAAGUCCAACUGGGGAAAAUUAACCCUGGCCAAAGGUUAACAGUUUCCUUCUCUUUCCAUCUGUGAACGUCUUCCCAAUGCCCUCUCAGCUCUGCCGUUACACAUCAACUUCUCUCUCUCUGGCCAUUCCGGGAUCAAGUGCUGGUGAAGUUGCCUUCUAGCCAGUGACAGAAAGCAGCUUACCUUCAUCUAUGGAAGACUCACAUUUUACAUAUGGGCCGGGUUUAGAUGUUGAAUGUCCUUUAAAGUCUCAUGUACUGGAGGCUUGGUCCCCAAUAUGGUAAUGUUGAGAGGUGGCGGGUCUUUAAGAGAGGAGACCCAGUGGAAGGUCAUUAGGUCAUGGGAGCACAGCCCUAGAGAAUGGCUUCAUGCAGAUAAAAAAACUGUUAUUUUGUUUCGUUGCUGUAACAAAAUAAACAACAUAAAAUGGACUAAGACACACAUGUAAAUCGAGACUAAAAAUUAUAGUAUCCGCUUCAUAGGAGAGGAACAGCGCUCACUUCAUGAAGAUGAAGUAGAAUAAUAUACCUGGCAUAUAGCACU
rnacentral:lncRNA from 1 species